GGGUUAAGUCCCGCAACGAGCGUCAACCCUUGUCUUUAGUUGCCAUCAUUCAGUUGGGCACUCUAAAGAGACUGCCGGUGUCAAACCGGAGGAAGUGGGGAUGACGUCAAGUCCUCAUGGCCUUUAUGACCAGGGCUACACACGUACUACAAUGGCCGGUACAAAGGGCAGCCACUUAGCGAUAAGGAGCCAAUCCCGUAAAGCCGGUCUCAGUCCGGAUUGGAGUCUGCAACUCGACUCCAUGAAGUUGGAAUCGCUAGUAAUCGCGGAUCAGCACGCCGCGGUGAAUACGUUCCCGGGCCUU
rnacentral:rRNA from 1 species